rnacentral:rRNA from 1 species
AACGAACGCUGGCGGCAUGCCUAACACAUGCAAGUCGAACGAGACCUCCGGGAGAAGUUGCGCACGGGUGCGUCACGCGUCGGAACCUGCCCUUAGGCUCGGAAUACCUCCCCGACAGGGGUGCUAACAUCGGAUAAUGUCCUCGGACACAAGAUUUAUCUCGCUUGUGUGGGCGGGCGUUGUAUUGGCUAGUUGGUAGGGUAAAAGCCUACCAAGGAGUCGAUCCAUAGCUGGGUUGAGAGGCUGAACCGCCACACUGGGACGGAGACACGGCCGGGACUCCUACGGAAGGGAGCAGUGGGGAAUAUUGGACAAUGGGCGAGAGCCUGAUCCAGCAAGGCCGCGUGAGUGAUGAAGGCCUGAAGGUAGUAAAGCUCUUUUACCCGGGAUGGUAAUGACAGUACCGGGAGAAUAAGCUCCGGCUAACUCCGUG